AUUUGCUUCUCCUUCUGCCAUGAUCCUAGGAUUUAGAACCUGGACCUGGACGCCUCACUGCUUCCUGCUUCCUUAGUGCCUUGUGGCCUGGAGUCAGAAUAAUCUAGCUCAAACUUGGGAGUCAAAUGCUCCAGGGUCUUGAACUGGUCAGAGCUCUCAAUGCCGCAAAGACACUUUCAGAAGAGGAACGAAGGCCUGGAAGGAAAAGCAUCAGGGGAACGACGCUUACGUCUCUCCUCCUCCCUCCGGUCUCCCACCAGUGCUCCCAUUGGCUGAAGCCAACCAGAAGCCACAGGCAGACUUUUCAAGUUGUGCUCCCAAGACUGGGGAAGACUUUGAUGUAGAUCCAGCAUCACUUACCUGUGCCUCCAGGAUGAGGCAUCUGCAGAACCAACGUCAAUUGACCUGGAUCCAAGAACAGUUAUGGUGAUUGGAAAUUGAUCAAAAUACGGAGAUCAACGAUGCUCAAUAGGAGGAAGAGAGAGAUGGCAAGGUCUGGGAAAGCUCGUUCCUUUAAUUCUCAGGGUCUUAGGAUGGAGGAGAAGGAGCCUGGAGACAGGACUCUGGAAGUCUAGAACUCUUCCCAGGGGUAUCUGGGCAAUCCCCAACAGAGCACUUGGUCUCUAAUUUCUCAGAGUGGCCACCUGCUUUGGACUCACUCAGGAAACUUAUUAAGGAUACAGAUGCUUUGGUGCCCUUGUCCCCAACCAACCAGGGUCCCAGGGUCAGGACUCAGGGGUUUUGUGAGUCACAAGGUCUCCAGAUGAUUCUGAGACUUUCAACCAGAGACUUUAAAGUAGGGAGGAGAAACCAAGAUGCCUGUCCUUCGGCUUUAUGUGCUAACACUUGCCAAAUGCCUUCAAAUCUGAGGAAAUGGGAGGGAAGAGUUCAGUUCAAGAAGGGAAAACUUCGGCGAUGACCUGGGGUUUU
rnacentral:lncRNA from 10 species